UACGAAGGGGGCUAGCGUUGCUCGGAAUCACUGGGCGUAAAGGGCGCGUAGGCGGCCAUUCAAGUCAGAGGUGAAAGCCCAAGGCUCAGCCUUGGAAUUGCCUUUGAUACUGUUUGGCUUGAGACCGGAAGAGGUAAGUGGAACUGCGAGUGUAGAGGUGAAAUUCGUAGAUAUUCGCAAGAACACCAGUGGCGAAGGCGGCUUACUGGUCCGGUUCUGACGCUGAGGCGCGAAAGCGUGGGAGCAACAGG
rnacentral:rRNA from 1 species